GUAAGAUAGUCCUACUGUUCCAAAGCUGC
rnacentral:piRNA from 1 species